UUUAUGUUGUACUGAGUAAUCAAACCCUGGGGCUUUAUGCAUGGUUGGCAAGCACUCUACCACUGAACCACAUGCCCAGCCCCUGGCUAAAACUUUAAGGCUCCCUUUUUGAAGUGUGGAAUUUUCCUGGGAUAUUCUUGGGCUCAGUUGUUUUGGAUGGUUGUCGAGAUUUUAGAUCUGUACUUUUAUCCAGUUUCGGAAACCAGUAAAUUGAGAAGGAUUAUUUCAGAAAUUUGAUAAACAGAACUAUUCAUUUAAAAACUAGCUGGAAAGGUGGUAGUUUGUCCACCACCUUUAAGAAAGAAUUAGAGCAUGACAUUGUAAAAUGGUCUUUCAGACCAUAUAUAUUGACUUUUUGAUUUACCAUAAGUAUCUUCAGCAGAAUAGUGAAAAAUAAUCACCUUCACCUUAAGGUUCCAGUACUCUUCUCCUGUGUCUGACAGUUUUAUAUACAUUCCUCAAUUAGACCUAUAAGUUUAGAAGAGAUCCAAGGAAUAACUUUGCAUAUCCUGUUUCUAGUAGUCAAUUGUUAGAAUGAAUAAAAAAAGCAUCUCUCUUCCCCAACUCAUCCAUCUAUAGCAUAUCUUAAAUAGGAAACAAACAGCCAAUGGGAUCAGUACUUUAGUAGUCCUGAAGUAAAGGAGAGAGAGCUUUAAUAAUUUGAGACUUAGUACUUUAUACUUUAGGAAGAAAAGAGGAUUAAUAAGUUCAUCCUUCUAGGAAAGUUCGUAGACCAUAACUGAUGCAAAUUAAAGUGCCUGCCAUGAAUGCUGUUGACUCAGCUUUCAACUGAACACAUGGUGUUUCAUUUUACAUGCUUAUAGUUGGCUAAUCUUGUUUGUCUAAAUUUUUAGGUUUAGUAUAUGACUUAUUUAUUUAUUUGCAAAUAAAUGAUGAAGAACUGUUGCAAGAAUGUGA